GUCGCUACUACCGAUUGAAUGGCUUAGUGAGCUUUAGGGAGUGCGUCAUCCGAUUGGGUUUCCUUUCGGUUGCAUGCGUGAACUAAAACAAACUUGAUUAUUUAGAGGAAGUAA
rnacentral:rRNA from 1 species